rnacentral:rRNA from 1 species
GUGCCAGCAGCCGCGGUAAUACGUAGGUGGCAAGCGUUGUCCGGAUUUAUUGGGCGUAAAGCGAGCGCAGGCGGUCUUUUAAGUCUGAUGUGAAAGCCCCCGGCUUAACCGGGGAGGGGUCAUUGGAAACUGGGAGACUUGAGUGCAGAAGAGGAAAGCGGAAUUCCAUGUGUAGCGGUGAAAUGCGUAGAUAUAUGGAGGAACACCAGUGGCGAAGGCGGCUUUCUGGUCUGUAACUGACGCUGAGGCUCGAAAGCGUGGGGAGCAAACAGGAUUAGAUACCCUGGUAGUCC